rnacentral:lncRNA from 1 species
GAUAAAGGGCUCUGCUGGUUAAUAGCUGGAGUUGCUUCAAACUCUAAAAUGCUAUGAAUUUAUGAAGUCUGUUCUCAAUACUCAAACUUAACCAUGCAUUUUAAUUCAACUAAAAAAACUGUUUCACAGAUGAAGAUCAUAUUAAAGCUACUUUAAUUAGUAUUCAGAGAAUGCACACACUGGAGCUGCUAAGGAAACGAAUGAGUAAAGAAGAACUACAUUUGCAUCGUUCCUCUAAGAUGAACACGAGGAGUUAGCAGAAUAAACAAGACUAGGUGGAGGAGAGCAGAAUUUGGGCAGCAGUGGUCCUCAUCCAGCAUUUCUACAGUGCUAGCAGGAAAAGGCAGCGCCACCACUAUUGAGUUGGGGGAGACCUGGUCUGCUCCUUCCUCUGGCCUUCCUUUCCGUGACUGGACAAACAAAAAGCAACUUACCUUUGCAGAGUCAUAUUCAAAGAGCCUGUACAACCCUUAAUCUUAUUCUGGGCUUCAAGAUGAGUCAUUCCUUGUGCAUUUAUUCCAUCAAUGCUGAGAACCACAUCGCCUAUUCUUACAUUUGCCUGGGCUGCCUUGCCGCCAUCUUUUAGCUGUAAUAAAUAUAUUUCAUUAGGAGUGUCACUCUUUGAAAAAGAAUAAUAAAUGCUGAUAAAAUUAUACUUUUGCUUAU